rnacentral:rRNA from 1 species
AUUGAACGCUGGCGGCACGCCUAACACAUGCAAGUCGAGCGGCAGCAUGCUUAGUAGCAAUACUAAGUGAUGGCGAGCGGCGGACGGGUGAGGAACACGUAGGAACCUGCCCAAGUGAGGGGGAUAACUAAGGGAAACUUUAGCUAAUACCGCAUAAUCUCUGAGGAGAAAAGUUGCCCGUAAGGGUAGAGCUUUUGGAGGGGCCUGCGUCCGAUUAGCUAGUUGGUGAGGUAAUAGCUCACCAAGGCGAUGAUCGGCAACUGGUCUGAGAGGACGACCAGUCACACUGGGACUGAGACACGGCCCAGACUCCUACGGGAGGCAGCAGUGGGGAAUCUUGGACAAUGGGGGCAACCCUGAUCCAGCGAUGCCGCGUGGGUGAAGAAGGCCUUCGGGUUGUAAAGCCCUUUAGGCGGGGAAGAAGAAUAUGGGAUGAAUAAUCCUGUAUUUUGACGGUACCCGCAGAAUAAGCACCGGCAAACUCGUGCCAGCCGCCGCGGUAA